GUUUUAAAACAAAGAUUUCAUAUUUUUAUUCUUUACAUGGUGACCAUUAAAAUAUUAUUGCUCGCAAUUGGAAAUCCUUUAUCAUUCCUUCAGGUGGCCUCUUUAUAAAAUGUGAUGUUUCAGCUGAAAAUGGAAAAAUUGUUGUGUAGCGCUCAAAGCCAUCAUUCUAAGCAUUCCUCACUGUGGGACUUGUGGAUAAAUAAAGUGAAAGCAUUAUCAAUCCUAGGUGGGCCUUGGGGCGUUGUAAUAUAUGGAAUAGCAGUAAAUUCACAGUGGUGUAUGUGUUUUGGUGUAAUAUUUAUGUAUUUAUUGAUUUUUAUAUGAUUUGUAUGCAAUUUCUUUUAAAUGUAUUUGAUCAUUUUCUUUGGA